rnacentral:rRNA from 1 species
UACAGAGGUCUCAACCGUUGUUCGGAUUCAUUGGGCGUAAAGGGUGCGUAGGCGGUCGUGCAAGUCGGAUGUGAAAUCUCAGGGCUCAACCCUGAAACUGCAUUCGAUACUGCGCGGCUAGAGUGCUGGAGGGGAGACUGGAAUUUACGGUGUAGCAGUGAAAUGCGUAGAUAUCGGAAGGAACAUCAGUGGCGAAGGCGACUUCCUGGACCAAUACUGACGCUCAGGUGCGAAAGCGUGGGGAGCAAACAGG